GGCAGCUGAUCAUCACUAUCUAUGAAUCAGCCAUGCACUGCAAACUUCUCUACUGUAUGACCUUUUUAUUCUGGACAGCAAGUUCCAUGGACUCUGGGGUCAUUCAGAGUCCUAGACAUCUGGUCAAAGGAAAAGAACAGAAAGCCAGAAUGCAGUGCACCCCCAUAAAAGAACAUAGUUAUGUUUAUUGGUACUACAAGAAGCCGGGAGAAGACCUCAAAUUCUUGGUUUACUUUCAGAAUACAGACAUCCUUGAUAAAACAGAUAUGAUCGAGAAAAUCAUUUCAGCAGAAUGCCUCACUAACAAAACAUGUACCAUAGAGAUCAAGUCCAGCAAGCUAACAGAUUCAGCUGUGUACUACUGUGCUAGCAGUCAAUCCACAGUGCUGACUACUGGUUUUUCUUAG